UCCGGCUUAACACCGGCAGUCUCCUUAGAGUGCCCGGCAUAACCCGCUGGUAACUAAGGAUAAGGGUUUCGCUCGUUAAGGGACUUAACCCGACAUCUCACAACACGAGCUGACGACAGCCAUGCAGCACCUGUGCACGUUCCACGGCAAGCCGCGUCACUCCCCUUUCAGAGAGCUAAUCCGUGCAUGUCAAACCCAGGAUAAGGUUCUUCGCGUAGCCUCGAAUUAAGCCACAUGCUCCACCGCUGGUGUGAGCCCCCGUCAAUUCCUUUGAGUUUCAGCCUUGCGACCAUACUCCCCAGGCGGGGUACUUAACACUUUCGCUUCGGCAGAAGGCGCAUCGGCACGCUUUCUACCCAGUACCCAUCGUUUACGGCUAGGACUAC
rnacentral:misc_RNA from 1 species